CUACCGCUAUUGGAGUUCGAUUAAGCCAUGCGAGUCGAGAGUCCUCGGGACUCGGCGUACCGCUCAGUAACACGUGGGUAACCUGCCCUAUGCUGGGGAAUAACCUCGGGAAACUGAGAACAAUGCCCCAUAGCCCACUACGCCUGGAACGGUGAGUGGGUCAAAGCUCCGGCGGCAUAGGAUGGGCCUGCGCCGUAUCAGGUUGUAGGGGGUGUAAAGUACCCUCUAGCCAUCAACGCGUACGGGUGUUGGGAGACAUUGCCCGGAGAUGGAUUCUGAGACACGAAUCCAGACCCUACGGGGUGCAGCAGGCGCGAAAACUUGGCAAUGCGAGAAAUCGUGACCAGGGAACUCCAAGUGCGUAGGGUAAGACCUACGCUUUUCUUGACUCUUCAAAGGUCUUGGAAUAAGGGGUGGGUAAGGACGGUGCCAGCCGCCGCGGUAAUACCGGCGCCUCAAGUGGUAGUCGCUUUUAUUGGGCCUAAAACGUCCGUAGCCGGUCUGGUGCAUUCGUGGGUAAAUCAACCCGCUCAACGGGUUGAAUUCUGCGAGCACGGCCAGACUUGGGACCGGGAGAGGUGUGGGGUACUCUCAGGGUAGGGGUAAAAUCCUGUCAUCCUGAGAGGACCACCUGUUGCGAAGGCGCCACACUAGAACGGAUCCGACGGUCAGGGACGAAACCUAGGGGCACGAACCA
rnacentral:rRNA from 1 species